rnacentral:lncRNA from 1 species
AAAGUGUCUGGAUCUGUGUUUUGAGACACAAAGAACUGUCUGUUAAUAAUUAAGGUACUACAUUAUAGUCUCCUUUCUUUCAAAUCCUAGAGAUUUACAGGGGGAUUCACUGAAAUAUAUGGGUAUUUUAAAGCUUUUCAAGAUUUAUGUCUUCUGUAUUAAUACAACCUAUGGCUAGCACAUUCUUUUUUUCCCCUGAAUCCUGUGUAUUAUGAAUUUUUGAAUAUUCUCUUUAUUCAACUUGAGUGUCUAAGAAAUCUUCUUAUAUAUGCUUGUAAAACCAUCCCGUUCUUAAAAUACUUAUUUAAGAUUUUGUGCUUGAACCAUUUUGAAAGUAAGUAUUGAAGUCACUUUCCUUUCACAUAGAAAUAAAAUAUACAUACUUAAAGUC